ncrna:unclassified sequences skipping-rope RNA
UAGGUUAGAAGUUGAGAAGUAUUAAGUUACGCUGUCCCAACGCGCCAAGCCCUAAAUGGGAAGGUGACAAGAAGAUGUGGGGGUUGGCAGUCCUACCUAACCUA